rnacentral:lncRNA from 1 species
AAAGCCUGCAGCUUUUUCUCACUCUCAGUCCAUGUCUCUUUCACUCACUGUGGUCAGCUUCCACACCAUUUCUUUGGUGUGGCUUGGCAAGAACCUCAGGUGUUACAUCUUGGCGAGCCAGACAGGAGACUCCAGAAAAGGGGUGAUUUUCCUGUACCAGUCCAAUGCCUCCAGAGGAAGAUCAUACAUUUGCCAUUUUACUGCUUAGUACGCAUGCUUGAGCCUGCUCGCCCAACUGCUGAGAUCUUAUUCAGAAACUGCUGAUCACCAACUCCAGCGUCAAAUGCUGAGAACCCAGUGGAGGAGUCCAAGACCUUAGGGGAUUGUGGAGCCGCUUGUCCAACACACAGCCCAUGGGCCACAUGUGGCUCAGGAUUGCUUUGAAUGCA